GACGAACGCUGGCGGCGUGCUUAACACAUGCAAGUCGAACGGAAAGGCCCUGCUUUUGUGGGGUGCUCGAGUGGCGAACGGGUGAGUAACACGUGAGUAACCUGCCCUUGACUUUGGGAUAACUUCAGGAAACUGGGGCUAAUACCGGAUAGGAGCUCCUGCUGCAUGGUGGGGGUUGGAAAGUUUCGGCGGUUGGGGAUGGACUCGCGGCUUAUCAGCUUGUUGGUGGGGUAGUGGCUUACCAAGGCUUUGACGGGUAGCCGGCCUGAGAGGGUGACCGGCCACAUUGGGACUGAGGUACGGCCCGGACUCCUACGUGAGGCAGCAGUGGGGAAUAUUGCACAAUGGGCGGAAGCCUGAUGCAGCAACGCCGCGUGCGGGAUGACGGCCUUCGGGUUGUAAACCGCUUUCGCCUGUGACGAAGCGUGAGUGACGGUAAUGGGUAAAGAAGCACCGGCUAACUACGUG
rnacentral:rRNA from 1 species